rnacentral:piRNA from 1 species
UAACACAGGGAAGCCUGUACGUGUUCUGGU